AGGUUUGCGUGACCGAAGCUUAGGUAUAAAACUGUAAAUUUUAUUAUGAUAUCUAUCCCAAACCA
rnacentral:tRNA from 1 species